UUUAUGCAUCUCAUUUUCAUACAACUCUGUGAGAUGAAUAUUGUUAUUUGUGUUUUGCAGCAGAGGAAAUGGAGUCUCAGAAAGUUUAAGUCAUUUGCUGAAGAUCACACAGUUGACAAGUUCCAGAGCAAGGAUGGCCACCUGCGUCAAGCCAGUCUCUUAGCCAAGAGAGAAAGAGAACUUUUCACAGAUUUGGGACCAUGGAGUAAGCAUGAAGUGGUGAAGCAGGAUGUCUGCGGGAUAGGAAGAAUCCAUGAGGAGAGACAGAUGAGCGCUAUGGGUGCUCAGGCUCACGUGAGAUCUAUAAGAAACAGAGACAUGAAGUCAAGUCAUCUCCAACAUAUCACUGCGAUGUGUGAUUCUUGCAUAAAAAUUGCCAGGUGAGUUAUCACAAUUCAAAUUCUUAAUCUCAUAUUACAAUAAGACUUGACUGAACAAAGCCUAUUUCAUGCUUUAAGAUACAGUGUUUAUCAUAUCGUUAUGCUUUUGCACUUAAAUACCCGAAGUUGAUUACUCAACAUUAAAUUUACAAAAUCGUAAGUUCUUUCGAG
rnacentral:lncRNA from 12 species